ACUACGACUUGACUAAACUAUUUGUAUUUAUGACUUUUCUGGCAUGGUCAUCCUGACAAUGGUAGUCAUCUCAAAUAUAAGAACAAAUAGUUAAAAUCACAAUUUCUAGUAAGGUGAAAUUGCUCUCGAGCCUUGAUAUAGAUGAGAAGCGAAAUAGUUAUUGCUACUAGUAAAUAUGUUCACAAUAUAAUAAUGUUACCAUAAAUAGAUACAUGGUUUAAAAGACGAUUAUGAAGUUUGAAAACACUAUUCAUGUAGUCCAUAUCAACAGAAUUUAUGUAGUAAACACAUUAUCGUAUAGUGUUUUUCAACCUACUAUGUAUUACAUUUGUGCUGACUAUACAAAUUGUCAAUGAACGGGUGUACUGUUAUUGUCACAUAAAGUUACAAUUUAGCAGAAAAUUUCGUACAUGAGUAACACAUCAGUGAUGGAUUUGAACAAAAUAUUCUAUAUUGUGACUGUGUACUUUGGUAGGACUUGCAGUGAAAUUAACAUCUCGUAUACGGUUUAUUAUUCAUUAUCGGUCGCUGUAGAAACAACAUCAAGCGAUUGAUGAAAAGGAAGAUUAUCAUUUGAUUCCCGGAUUCAAUUCGCUCGAAUCCGACGGACAAUCGCAGGAAAAACUCGACCGGACAGAGCCUUGGAUCAACUGAUACUAUCAAGCAAUGCUAAGCAAUAUUUCACCAGGUAUAAUAUCAUUUGAUUUGAUGCGAAAAUAAAAUAGAG